GUUGUUUGAAGGCAGGGCGCUCCCCUAAAGUCUGUUUAUAGAGGCAGGAGGUGUGUUUGAAAUCUUUAUAACUUACAAGCAAAUUUUGAAGUGGUUUGUUUAGGUAGGAAUUUUCUGAUUGCCCAUUUUAAAAAUCUUGGAGACCAGUCUUCAGUUAUUGAUAAUUCCGCAAAGAAGCAAAUAGAUAAAGAGAUUUGACACAAGAUGAAGAAAUCUUUGUUGUUUCCUCCUUUGAGAGGUGAAACAAUCUUUAUCAGUUCUGGAGAAUCUCCUAAAAAAAGAAAAGAAAAGAAAGGAAAACCAGAUAGUGGGUGUCUGUGCGUUCUCAUCAAAAACAUCUGAUAAUGAUGACAGCAUCACUGAGCAGGCGCAUGAUAAAACUUUAACCAGUUUGAUUCCAGUUCCAGCAGCCCUGAUCACUGGGCCAAAUGGGAACCCUGCAUUGGAGGAUGAAAACACACAUUUAGAGGAAAAAAAACAGCGUGUGAAGCUCAGGCUGCCGCAGAGGAGAGGGCUCUUACACGCAGAGCUGCUGGGGGUGUAUAUUUAGAAACUGCUGGCUUUUUAUACACAUCUCCACAAAGACCCAGUUUGACCCAGAGAAGAUGGCGAGUGAUGAACCGCCAUGCUCGCUUUCAGCAGAUAUUUAUUUUUGUUAGCACACUGCGUGUAGGUAUGUGUUAAAAAUGCACAUAAAAGUUUAAUGAUGUACUUUGAUAGUAGAUAUCCUCCUUUGGUUUUGGUUUCUGACUACAGCUCAGAAGUAUUUUCCUCCUCUUCCUGCAGCUUGCAGUUUGUUAGAAUUUGGUUUUUGAGGUAAUUCUUCUGGCCGAACGUGUGUGCUUCUUGUUGCAUUGUUUCUUCCUUUGAUAAAACAACAGUGCGUGACAUUUAGGCUUUUAUAGUGACUGCUCUCAGAGUGAUUGGUGCUGACAGGCGAGGCCAGUUCAGAUCAUAUCAGAUUAAACCAAAAAUUGGUUUCCGCACCUGUUUCGUCAUCUGGACAUGGAGGUUUACUUUGUCUACAAUAAAGCUG
ensembl:lncRNA